rnacentral:rRNA from 1 species
GACGAACGCUGGCGGCGUGCUUAACACAUGCAAGUCGAACGGAAAGGCCCUGCUUUUGUGGGGUGCUCGAGUGGCGAACGGGUGAGUAACACGUGAGUAACCUGCCCUUGACUUUGGGAUAACUUCAGGAAACUGGGGCUAAUACCGGAUAGGAGCUCCUGCUGCAUGGUGGGGGUUGGAAAGUUUCGGCGGUUGGGGAUGGACUCGCGGCUUAUCAGCUUGUUGGUGGGGUAGUGGCUUACCAAGGCUUUGACGGGUAGCCGGCCUGAGAGGGUGACCGGCCACAUUGGGACUGAGAUACGGCCCAGACUCCUACGGGAGGCAGCAGUGGGAAAUAUUGCACAAUGGGCGGAAGCCUGAUGCAGCAACGCCGCGUGCGGGAUAACGGCCGUCGGGUUGUAAACCGCUUUCGCCUGUGACGAAGCGUGAGUGACGGUAAUGGAUAAAGAAGCACCGGCUAACUACGUG